rnacentral:lncRNA from 1 species
CUUUCGAUUGUAGCAUUUCUCCUUUCAGGAUACAGUACGGGAUCCUUUCUGGAAUGGAGGUCUUAUGAGCUGCUAUUGAACACGGCAGAGCCUGUUGGUGACCUGCACACAGGAGCCCUCCAGUCAGUACUGAUUGAAUUACUCAAGGCUGCCUCUCUGCAAAGUUGAGGCGGUGGAGAACUACUGAGGACUUCUGAGCAGAGAGGUUGGUGGAAGAGGAAGCACCAAAAAUCCAUCUCAUCACCUAGAGAGCAUUGUACUGGCAGAACUGUCUAAAGUGACUAUUUUGGAACUCUGGGAUCAAUUUGAAUACUUGCAGCUUCCAAAGGAAAGGAGUCAGUGACCUUCGAGGAUGUGGCCGUCUACUUCUCUGAGAACGAAUGGAUCGGCCUGGGCCCUGCUCAGAGAGCCCUGUACAGGGAUGUGAUGCUGGAGAAUUAUGGGGCUGUGGCUUCCCUGGCAGCAUUUCCAUUUCCCAAACCGGCUCUGAUUUCCCAGCUGGAGCGAGGGGAAACACCCUGGUGCUCGGUUCCUCGGGGAGCUCUGGAUGGAGAGGCCCCAAGGGGCAUCUCCUCAGGUGAGUGAGGGCACACGUGCCGGUCAUCUGACCAGUUUUCUUGUCAUGAUCUUUAAAAUGUCAUAGAUAGGUGUUUUUUUAAUCUAGUGUUGUAGACACUAGUGGGAUUGCAUUUCUUCUCUGUGUUCCCAUAGUUUUAUGUCUUCUUUUUUUAAAAAAAUUUUUUUUAGUAUUUAUUGAUUAUUCUUGGGUGUUUCUCAGAGAGGGGGAUUUGGCAGGGUCAUAGGACAAUAGUGGAGGGAAGGUCAGCAGAUAAACAUGUGAACAAAGGUCUCUGGUUUUCCUAGGCAGAGGGCCCUGCCGCCUUCCGUAGUGUUUGUGUCCCUGGGUACUUGAGAUUAGGGAGUGGUGAUGACUCUUAACGAGCAUGCUUCCUUCAAGCAUCUGUUUAACAAAGCACAUCUUGCACCGCCCUUAAUCCAUUUAACCGUUAGUGGACACAGCACAUGUUUCAGAGAGCACGGGGUUGGGGGUAAGGUUAUAGAUUAACAGCAUCCCAAGGCAGAAGAAUUUUUCUUAGUACAGAACAAAAUGGAGUC